rnacentral:antisense_RNA from 1 species
UGUGGGAGCUGGCUUGCCUGCGAUGCAGGCGACUCGGUCCUUCAAUUGAACCGAGGUGAUGCUAUCGCAGGCAAGCCAGCUCCCACA